rnacentral:rRNA from 1 species
GGCAGGCUUAAUAAUGCAAGUCGAGGGGCAGCAGGGGUGUAGCAAUACACUCGCUGGCGACCGGCAAACGGGUGCGGAACACGUACGCAACCUACCCAUAACUGGUGAAUAGCCCGGGGAAACCCGGAUUAAUACAUCGUAACAUAAUGAAACGGCAUCGUUUUAUUAUUAUAGCUCCGGCGGUUAUGGAUGGGCGUGCGCCUGAUUAGGUAGUUGGCGGAGUAAUAGCCCACCAAGCCUACGAUCAGUAACUGGUGUGAGAGCACGACCAGUCACACGGGCACUGAGACACGGGCCCGACUCCUACGGGAGGCAGCAGUAAGGAAUAUUGGUCAAUGGACGCAAGUCUGAACCAGCCAUGCCGCGUGAAGGAUGAAGGUCCUCUGGAUUGUAAACUUCUUUUAUAUGGGACGAAACCCUCGAUUUCCAUCGGGAUUGACGGUACCAUAGGAAUAAGCACCGGCUAACUCCGUGCCAGCAGCCGCGGUAAUACGGAGGGUGCAAGCGUUAUCCGGAUUCACUGGGUUUAAAGGGUGCGUANGAG